UUUUAUCAGUGUGGCUGACCCUAGCCAAUAUAUAGCGGUUAAAGAGCCUUGGGGAGCAGAGCCUGUGGGUUGUGGUGAAAUAGUUAAUCAAUGAAGAACUUUUUUGAUUUGUUUGCUCGGAUGACCGAGAUUAAAAACAAUACAGCGGUGGAGGUUGAAAUAAGAGAGGUCGAGAGAGGUGAUGUCUCGGUGGGAAGGCUAGUUGCUAAGAUGCCACCUGCGGGUCGCAAUUUGAUAAGAGCGAAGAAAUUCCUAGAUCAUAGUUCUUAUACUGGUGUUCCCAGAACCGUUCAUGUCAUCGCAACGGCUAAUGGUACGAGGACCACGACGGUCCUUUCAGCACAGUAUUUCAAUACCAACGGACGAGUCACCUUUCUUCUAGAAAAUGGAAAACUGGUGGCGGAGGCAGAAACGAUCCCCCCAAAAAGCAUCAUCAUGAGGGGUAUUGGGCGUUUCUCACACUCUACACGGGUAUACUCAUGAGUUUGCUGAGAACCGGAUGAAGUUCGUGGAAAUGGGUUUCAAGUUGGUGAAUUUUGUGUUGGACAAGAUAGUAUUUCAUGGUUUCUGUUCAGGUUUGUAUUGCAGGAAGCCGUGACAAUACGGGCUAGUUUGUUUUUGUUUUGCUUUCAAUAAAACUGCUUUACAAAGCAGUUAAGAGUGUUUCAUAAUCUGAGUUUGUAAAUGUUAUGUCCAAGUUUUGUAAAAAUUUAUGUAAAACGGACGUGUUAUUUACUUAUUAUGUGUUGUAAAAAUUUUAUGUAAAAGGGAUGUGUUAUUUACUUAUCAAUAGCAAAGCCAAAAUGCCAACGAA